CGCCUCCUACGGGGCGCAGCAGUAGGGAAUCUUCCACAAUGGGCGAAAGCCUGAUGGAGCAACGCCGCGUGGGUGAAGAAGGUCUUCGGAUCGUAAAACCCUGUUGUUAGAGAAGAAAGUGCGUGAGAGUAACUGUUCACGUUUCGACGGUAUCUAACCAGAAAGCCACGGCUACCUACGUGCCAGCAGCCGCGGUAAUACGUAGGUGGCAAGCGUUAUCCGGAUUUAUUGGGCGUACAGGGAAAGCAGGCGGUCUUUUA
rnacentral:rRNA from 1 species